rnacentral:rRNA from 1 species
CAACCUUCAUUCAGUGGCGAACGGGUGAGUAAUAACAUCGGAACGUACCCCGUAGUGGGGGAUAACGCCGCGAAAGCGGCGCUAAUACCGCAUAUGCUCUACGGAGGAAAGUGGGGGACCGCAAGGCCUCAUGCUAUGGGCGCGGCCGAUGUCCGAUUAGCUAGUUGGUGGGGUAAUGGCCUACCAAGGCGACGAUCGGUAGCUGGUCUGAGAGGAUGAUCAGCCACACUGGGACUGAGACACGGCCCAGACUCCUACGGGAGGCAGCAGUGGGGAAUUUUGGACAAUGGGGGCAACCCUGAUCCAGCCAUGCCGCGUGCGGGAAGAAGGCCUUCGGGUUGUAAACCGCUUUUGGUCGGGAAGAAAAGGCACCAGCCAAUACCUGGUGUUCUUGACGGUACCGGCAGAAUAAGCACC